UAUCUAUCUCCUGAUGAUAAACUCAUACCCAACGCAGACAAAUGAUGUUGAAAUCUAUUUAACAUGCAUCACCAUCUGAUUUUACAA